rnacentral:rRNA from 1 species
AGCAGUACCGCGGUAAUACGAAGGGUGCAAGCGUUAAUCGGAAUUACUGGGCGUAAAGCGUGCGCAGGCGGAGGGUUAAGUAGGAAGUGAAAGGUCGGAGCUCAACUCCAACAUUGCUUCCUAUACUGGCCCUCUUGAGUCCCGGAGAGGAAAGCGGAACGACACGUGUAGCGGUGAAAUGCGUUGAUAUGUGUCGGAACACCAAUGGCGAAGGCAGCUUUCUGGACGGGUACUGACGCUCAGGCGCGAAAGCCGAGGUAGCGAACAGGAUUAGAUACCCCAGUAGUCCCUGUCUCUUAUACA